GCCCGCUGAUCCCAGGCACCACAGACACGUCCAGGUAGCCGGGCAUCGCCUGGUAGGAGCUGGCGAAGCUGGGAUAGAAGGCGAACUCCUUGGCCCUGGAGGACAGGUCGUCACCCGGCAGGGCGCCCGACGGCUCGGGUCUCCAGACUUGUCGGGCUUCCUGUGCUCAGUUUGGUGCCUAAGUAGAGGCACCCCUUUCCAGAGAGCAUCUCCGUGGGAUUGAGCCAAGUUCCCUUUCAGCACAGGGCCUCCCUGAGGAGGAGAGGUAAUAAGGAGAGAGAGAAAAAAGGGGAGAGGGGCUACAGCAUCUCCCUCUUUCCUGCCUCUGCCAAAGAUUUUAGAUGCUGGGUGCUCCUGUCCAGACCGCGGCCAGGAAAUAGCCUCGGGCUAAGCCGAACCCGCUGGAUCCCUUCAACUUGAGAGCAAAUGGCCAGGUCUGUACUGAGAUCUGGCCCACGGGCUGCCUCCCUUCUACCGGUAGGGGCAAAGUGGUGUUGGACGAUGGAGAGCGCCCUGGCGUGGGUGACUUAGGAUAAGAGACGCAAUCUUUAUCAGGGUGCUCUUCAUUCGGAAGGGUCACCUCAGAGUUCCAGAAAGCAGGCUUUGGGCUGGGCUGGCAGUAGGAGGAAAAAUAUAUCAGGAAGCUUGGAACAUGAGCAGGCUAGCUUGAGUGUGUGUUGAGGGCGAUGAUGGUGGAUGGAGGAGAGAGGAGUGGAGAGGAAGGUGGGUCUUGCUGGGAGCCGGCUCUUGGCUAGGAAACUGGCUUCUCUGCCUCCGGAGUCCCAAGGUCAAGGUAAAAGGAGGAAAGCAAACAUGGCCUGGCUAGUCUAGACUGGGUCGUGUGACCUUGGCCCCCCGCGUCUGCCUGCGGCCUGCCUGGUGGGGGUAGGUGGGUGGAGAGGUCUGCCGUUUUUUCCCUCCGCAGGUGUAGGGGUGGUGCGGAGGCCCUAGCUUCCCCUCCUGUGCAGUGCGGGGUCCGGUUCCGCGUGGAGAACCCAGGGCGACGUGGACCGGGCUGAGUGGGGCAGCCGGGCGAAACAAAGGGCCUGAAAUGGCCACCCCGUUCCUGGGGCUCCCUCCCGGGUCCAGGAAUGGUCUAGCUCAACGCCAGAUGCGUCUUCACGGGCCAGAACCCAAAGACGGGUCCCCCAGCCUUUGGGAGUAAGGGGCAGAACAGCAGAAAGGCUCUGGGUGCAGGCGGCCCAGCAAUAAAUAAAAUCAAUAGGGCUUUAUGCGGCCAAAAUUUAGCGACGAGCGGAAAGAGAGGGAAAAGUUCCCUUCGUCAAGGAGCCCAGCCGAAGAAGAUGUAGGCCCCCCAGAGACCUGAGAGAGUGGGAGGCGAAAGUUCAGGACUCAGGGCGUUGAAAGCGCCAGAGAAGGGUCCGCAUGCUCUGAACGAUUUCCCACUCUUUCGCUGGGUUCCCCAAGACCUUCCGCGCCUGAAACUGCUGACUCCAAGACUGGGGCGCACCCGGAGCAGGGAGGGAGGCGACGAGGCGAGAGCCUGCGGCGCCGGGCGCCUCAAAGUAGAGCCUUGUUGGUUAAUUAACUUUAAGCCUGGGGUCGCUUCUUUCUCCUCCCCCGAAAAAAAAGAUGUGGAUCUCGCUGAGACACAAAUAAAACCAAAUUAAACACUCCAGGAGAAUAUGCACUACUGGAAACAUAGUAAUUACAUCGCCGAAGCGAUGAGGCGAUCCCGCCCUAGAAAGCCAGGCGCUGAAACCCUCGGCUUCGGCGCUCACCCCCCACCGCUGAGCCACACCUCGCCCCGCCGGGGGCUUCGCGGGUGGGCCGAUGGAGCUGGACUGCGGACCUGGUUGAGAGGAAAUCGGGAGGAAUGAAUAGGAAUGUGACCCUUCGGUCUCUAGCUGUGAUGAUGUUGGUGUGUGCGGGAAAGGACGGAGCAUUUCAUCACACCAAAGGAAAAUGGAAAACGGCCCCUCUAGCCCCGUCGAGAAGCCCCGGGCUGCGCUCUCCGCUCUUUUUUCAAAGGGACAUUUGUGAUGGCGAGGCCACGGGAGCCGCUCUGCCCUCAGCUUCCUCUAUGGACUGAGUUCCCCGCUAAGUUCAACUCUGAAAUUCUUGUUUUCAAAGACUCCAAUAUAUAAAGGAGAUAUUCAAUGUGCCGUCUCACUGGAAGUGUGUGUGUGUUUGCACGGUAUACGUGUGCACACGCCCGGCCUGUGGGUCUGUGAUUGUGGGCAGGCUCCAUGCACUGUUCCAGCACAUGCCCUUGUGGAUACGGCCCAAGUGUAUUCAUGAAAAUACCCAGCCCUCGCCGAAAUCCUCUCUAUGCAAAUAAAGAUCUCUGCUGGUCUGUUUAUUUCUCUG